rnacentral:rRNA from 1 species
AACGACUCUCGGCAACGGAUAUCUCGGCUCUCGCAUCGAUGAAGAACGUAGCGAAAUGCGAUACUUGGUGUGAAUUGCAGAAUCCCGUGAACCAUCGAGUCUUUGAACGCAAGUUGCGCCCGAGGCCUUUGGCUAAGGGCACGUCUGCCUGGGCGU